UACAGAGGUCUCAAGCGUUUGUUCGGAUUCAUUGGGCGUAAAGGGCGCGUAGGCGGCGGGGUAAGUCGGGUGUGAAAUCUCAGAGCUCAACUCUGAAACUGCACUCGAUACUGCUCUGCUUGAGGGAGGUAGAGGAGAGUGGAAUUCCCGGUGUAGUGGUGAUAUGCGUAGAUAUCGGGAGGAACACCAGUGGCGAAGCGGCUCUCUGGGCCUUUCCUGACGCUGAGA
rnacentral:rRNA from 1 species